UACGGGGGGGGCAAGCGUUGUUCGGAGUUACUGGGCGUAAAGGGUGUGUAGGCGGUUGUUUAAGUUUGGUGUGAAAUCUCCCGGCUCAACUGGGAGGGUGCGCCGAAUACUGAAUGACUUGGAGUGCGGGAGAGGAAAGUGGAAUUCCUGGUGUAGCGGUGAAAUGCGUAGAUAUCAGGAGGAACACCGGUGGUGUAGACGGCUUUCUGGACCGUAACUGACGCUGAGACACGAAAGCGUGGGUAGCAAACAGG
rnacentral:rRNA from 1 species